rnacentral:rRNA from 1 species
GACGAACGCUGGCGGCGUGCCUAAUACAUGCAAGUCGAACGCUUCUUUCCUCCCGAGUGCUUGCACUCAAUUGGAAGGAGGAGUGGCGGACGGGUGAGUAACCCGUGUGUAACCUACCCAUCAGCGGGGGAUAACACUUGGAAACAGGUGCUAAUACCGCAUAACAGUUUAUGCCGCAUGGCAUAAGAGUGAAAGGCGCUUUCGGGUGUCGCUGAUGGCUGGACCCGCGGUGCAUUAGCUAGUUGGUGAGGUAACGGCUCACCAAGGCCACGAUGCAUAGCCGACCUGAGAGGGUGAUCGGCCACACUGGGACUGAGACACGGCCCAGACUCCUACGGGAGGCAGCAGUAGGGAAUCUUCGGCAAUGGACGAAAGUCUGACCGAGCAACGCCGCGUGAGUGAAGAAGGUUUUCGGAUCGUAAAACUCUGUUGUUAGAGAAGAACAAGGACGUUAGUAACUGAACGUCCCCUGACGGUAUCUAACCAGAAAGCCACGGCUAACUACGUG